GGGGUGACAAAGCAGAGUGGUGAUCAGAGGUGUCCUUUCACAUUUCCCAACAGAACCCAACCAACAGCUUUGGUGCCUGAAGAACUCUGGGUCAUCAAAGAUGGUGCAGAAACAGGAUCAGAGGCCGGGGAGACCCAACAAAGACCUCAGUGAACUGGAGAACUCAACAAGCCCUGGGGACAUGGAGAUGCCGAUUUGAACAAAGGAGACGAUGGGUAUGGACACGUUAGCCCGAAAGAGCAAUGUACUUCAGAGGAAACAAACUUCUUACCACCAUUAUCCAUCUCAGAAGAGAGGAUGGCCCAAAGCCCUGGUGUGCAGACAGCAGCUGUACUGGGCGCCCCAGCCCUUGGUAAGCCUGCUCCAGACUCAAGAUCUGCAGGCAAGCCUCGUUCCAGAGCCAAGGACCUCCACUGAGCAGGAAGUUCCCUGACCUCUCAGAAUUUAUCCCUGGAGAAGAAAGGAAAGAUUCAUCCCAGAAGGAAGUCUGCAUGCAUCAGUCAGUGUGGUGCAUCCUCCAUAGGCGCCUGGAGAGAAACGGUGUUUUAAGAGCCCAGGUCUAGAGACGGGAGUUGGGAGGCAGUACUAGCCUGGCUUUGAUGUAACCAGAUCUCAGACCUUAGGCAAGUUCCUCCUCAUCUGUAUAACGUGGGGGCCAGCCUGGAUUAUCUUUAAUGCCUUUGCAAGACGGACACUCAGAAGUCAUAAGGACACAUACCAGACCAGUGGCCCUGCAUUCAAAAACCUUCACACAUUUUGUCUCCACAGUUAGAAGUCGUAUAGGGACUUCCCUGGUGGUCCAGUUGUUCAGACUCCAAGUUUCCACUGCAGGAGGCAUGGAUUGGAUUUGAUCUCUGGUUGGGGAACUAAGAUCCCACAUGUUGCUCAGCGGGGCCAAAUAAUUUUUUUUUUUUAAUGAAGUGGUGCCAGAAUUGUGCUGAUAUCAAAUAGUUUUGGUCAUCCAAAGUUUUCAUGAAGAGCCUCC
ensembl:lncRNA